AACCGCGUAGCUCAGUUGGCAGAGCAUUGGGCUAGUAUUCCAAAGGUCGUAGGUUCGAUUCCCACCGUGGCCG